rnacentral:hammerhead_ribozyme from 1 species
GCACUGCUGAUGAGUCCCAAACAGGACGAAACAGGUUUGUAGUGC